CCUACGGGUGGCAGCAGUGAGGAAUAUUGGUCAAUGGACGCGAGUCUGAACCAGCCAAGUAGCGUGAAGGAUGACUGCCCUAUGGGUUGUAAACUUCUUUUAUAAGGGAAUAAAAUGUUCCACGUGUGGGUUUUUGUAUGUACUUUAUGAAUAAGGAUCGGCUAACUCCGUGCCAGCAGCCGCGGUAAUACGGAGGAUCCGAGCGUUAUCCGGAUUUAUUGGGUUUAAAGGGAGCGUAGAUGGAUUGUUAAGUCAGUUGUGAAAGUUUGCGGCUCAACCGUAAAAUUGCAGUUGAAACUGGCAGUCUUGAGUACAGUAGAGGUGGGCGGAAUUCGUGGUGUAGCGGUGAAAUGCUUAGAUAUCACGAAGAACUCCGAUUGCGAAGGCAGCUCACUGGACUGCAACUGACACUGAGGCUCGAAAGCGUGGGUAGCAAACAGGAUUAGAUACCCGUGUAGUC
rnacentral:rRNA from 1 species